UCUAGUCGGUUCGGGCCUGAGCCUGUCAUCGGCAAAGUAAUGUUAAAACACGAAGAUGUAGUGCUCAGCAUACCUCAGGAAUAAGUCAAAAGGAUGCCUCUUCAGAGUGAAGCUUACGAAAACAGACGAGGCAAGACAACAUGUGCAAACAGACUGCUUGAAAAAUACAACCAAAUUAAAGAAUGGUAAUUUCACAACUAGCAUGCCACCACUUGCUGCUACUGCAAAAGAUGAAUGGUUUUGAAAAGUAUAGGGUGCAUCUUUAUGAAACUUCCGACUCAAAUGAAGCCUAUUGAGACUGCCAAAAUGUUUCUUUGCCGCAGUAAACCUACUUUCACGGUUGUACAAAGAAAUACAAAACAUGAAUGAAAGAAGCUAAAAUAACUUGCAAUUAAU